GCCUGGUCUGAGUGCAGUGUUUACAACUAAUUGAUCACGACACGACCAGUUACAGAUUCUUUCGUUCUGUCUCCACUCCCACUGCUUCACUUAACUACAAA
rnacentral:Y_RNA from 1 species